rnacentral:rRNA from 1 species
UACGGGGGGGGCAAGCGUUGUUCGGAAUUACUGGGCGUAAAGGGCUCGUAGGCGGCCAACUAAGUCAGACGUGAAAUCCCUCGGCUUAACCGGGGAACUGCAUCUGAUACUGGAUGGCUUGAGGUUGGGAGAGGGAUGCGGAAUUCCUGGUGUAGCGGUGAAAUGCGCAGAUAUCAGGAGGAACACCGGUGGCGAAGGCGGGUCUCUGGGCCGAUACUGACGCUGAGGAGCGAAAGCGUGGGGAGCGAACAGG